rnacentral:ribozyme from 1 species
AUUGCAAGUGCAAGGCCAUAGCAGAAGUGCCUAUGGCACAGCCUGUCAGAUUCCAACAAAUCUGCAAAUUCUGCU